GCGCAUCUCAGGAAAGGUAACUGUAGACCAUCUCACUGUUCCAAGGCUUGAAAACAUCCCCCUCUAAUUCCCCAGUGACGUUUUCCAUGGGCGAACACCAAGUGAGAAAACGAGUCCUGAGAGUCGGAACUUUGGACGACAGGAAAGCCUUGACGUCUCACCGCAUGCUUGCAUUUCUGGCUUUGGAAACGCGGAGAAGUGUUUUACCAUUGUGACAACUGAGGGCUGGUUUUCUGAUUGAACUGUACAGUCAGAUUAGCUGUUUGAGUCAGGAUGGCUAUAAGCGUGGCGUAAGCGUAAUGGUGAAAUGUUGCCAUCUUGGAAAAACAAAAUACUACAUAGAUGAGAAAUAAUAAUGGCUCCAUAUGAAUGUAUUCAGAAGUGUCACAUUCUGCUGAAGCUGCCGGUUCAAUUUUUCAACUAAGCAGUUGCAUGUGUUCUACUUAAGCCAGGCUUGGUGUGGAAUUUUUAAAGCUCUCACGAAUCCAUCAUCACACCUGAGGAUCCUAUGGUGACACCGAAGGGUUGUGAGAAUGACACUUCACUCCUGCUAAUGAAGAGGAAAAGCCUUUACAGACCAGGGAGGACUCCUGGAUUCUGCCUUUCCCACUCAGGGAAGCCAACUGACUGCUGAUUGGCAGAACUGGCCAGGAUCUUCUCUCCAGCUCAUGACCGGACCACUUACUGCUUUGGGGGCAUCAUGUUUCAUAGAAGUUUUCUCUUAACAGACAGAGUCGUGUCUGACCAUUCACCAUGGGCAUAUCUCACAGCCACAAUGACAAUCUUUUCAUCCAGGUAGGCGGAACUUAGCUACUGGAAACACUAUUUUCUGUCUCACUCCUGGGUAAAAUGUACUAAGCUACUGAGAGUGCCCUAAUCAUCUCACCAACACCCAGAAGAGACUGGCAGGAGAUGCUGCGCUGAUUUGCUAGGAAACUAUUGACCAACCCCUUACCACAGGUCAAGUACGGAGCUAAAUGCUUUCCAUAUUAGUACUUCUGAAAUAUAUAUAUUUUAUUGAUUUUUUUACAGGGAGGAAAGGAGAGAGAUAGAGAG